GUCACAACUCAUAUCUUGCUCUUUAACAUCUAUCAUAUAAGAAAAGUCACUCUACUUUUUCCACAACAAGCCAUGUCUAGCCUAACAUUCCACCAUUUUGUUUUGAAACAUUUCAUUUUUUUAUUUUUCCUCUCUUUCUCUCUCUUCCAUCUAUUACCAUAUUCUUAUUCUAAUUGUUUCCAAUUUCACUACAGUUACAAAUUAACAAUCUCACUUCCUCUUAUUCUUCUUCUUCCUUCUUCUUUUUUUCUUUGUGUUUUAUAUUCUUCUUCGUAAUGGUUAUCGUUGACGGUGUUUUAUUUUUCUUAUUUAUUCAGCAUCACUAACAUCGUUAUUAUGGUUUUUGUUUCAGAUAGGUUUCGAAACAAUUAUUUGAGCAUAAGGAAUCGAGAGUAAUUGUGAGAAUGAGUUUUAGCGGGAAUGAAGGCAUUUCACAGGCACACAAGAUAUUGUUCUUUUUAAAUAGUUUUAAUGUUGAAACAAACUGUUGAAUUAUGAAGUUUAAAGAAUAAGGAUUCAUGAAAAUUGUGGUUUACUGAUCCAAAUCAAAGGGCAUGGAAGUGAAAAGAUGCAUAUGAAAGUUUACAGGCAAAACAUUCAAGAAUUAAGAAGGAGAGGGACUGUAUUUACUCUUCAACUGAGUCUUUCUAAUGCCGCCAUUACUGCAGCAACCUAUUUUCCAAUGCUACUCAUUAUUUUUCUAAAUAUCUAUAUCUAUGCAGUCUUUUCAAUGCAACAUUUUUGAAUUUUUAUUUUUAUUUUAUAUUUUGAAAAAUAUGU